AACAAAUAGAAAAGAAGUCGGCAAGUCAAGUAUUGUGAGGAAAGAUAGAUAAAAUUAACUUAAUACUAGUUCAAUAAUUCCAAGUGAGCUUGUGCACAAAUCUAUAUUGGAACCGGUAACCUAAACCUAUUCCGCGACCUAUUGUCCACUCGCCAUACAUGCUACUAUGAACUAGGUGAGGUGAAGUAAUUGGAUUUACGACUACAGCUUAUCUACUUGAACCUUGUAAACUACGUGGAAUUAUACAAAGGGAACUAAACGUAAGUUAUUAUAAAAUGUAUUUACAUUUAGGCAUAAUAAAUAAUUGAG